UACGUAGGGCGCAAGCGUUAUCCGGAAUUAUUGGGCGUAAAGAGCUCGUAGGUGGUUUGUCGCGUUGUUCGUGAAAUCUCACGGCUUAACUGUGAGCGUGCGGGCGAUACGGGCAGACUAGAGUACUGCAGGGGAGACUGGAAUUCCUGGUGUAGCGGUGGAAUGCGCAGAUAUCAGGAGGAACACCGGUGGUGAAGGCGGGUCUCUGGGCAGUAACUGACGCUGAGGAGCGAAAGCGUGGGGGGCGAACAGG
rnacentral:rRNA from 1 species